AUAAACGUUAUACACACAUUUCAGGAAAAACGUGUCCUAGCUACAUAUAGACUCCAAUCUACCAGGAUCCAGUCCAGAUAUUCCAUGAAACUGGGAUAUACGCACACGAGAAAUUGUCAACCGAAGGAAAGUGUGGCUGUUAAUUAAUUCCAUGUACGCUAAGAAUGUACUUGUGUCCUUCAGAAGAACGCGAGGACAGAGAACACACCUACCUAGACUGAGAUGCGUGUGUACUCGGCUAUUGCACAAUACUGUAUGCUCAGCUGGGCGCAGAGAAUUUGGGCAGCCACAUGAAAACACUGGCAUGGACCUUAUUCACAGCGCCUCCAUCUUGAAAUCCAAAACGAGGCUGGGGGGUACACUCUAACCGCAAGUUCAUUGACAGAGCGCAGCAGCGGGCGUCUAUCAUCAUGGCGAUACCUUUGUGGACAUCAAAUCUUUCAUGUCUUCCCAACAUAACAGUGGACUAUGUCGAAAAAUGGGCUAAUAAGGACUGCAUGAUUCCCCGGGCUGUUUUGCUUAAAGGAUACAGCAACUGGAUUGAGGGAUAUGUGCACGACGUGGAAGAGGGCUUGCCAUGAGAGUGAUCUCUACAGCCAUUGAGGAGGCUCCAGGACCGCCACCAGGGAUGCUGAUGCCUCUACUGGAGCAGCAUGACCCGGGAGAACUGGAGCUUGGCGAAUAGGGGUGAUCUCUCUGGGGAGAGAUCAAAAGGGGGAAUUGUAGAUGUAUUGAUUGUAUUAGUUAGUGAACUGUUAUAAGCUGUUGUAACCAAUGAAGCAGAAUAUUAAUUGUUUGUAAUAUGAGCUGAAACUGAAGGAGCAAGUAGGAGAAUAGGAAACCCUGUUCAAGCGGUUGCCGGGGAGAGAAAGAUUUAGUAUGUCUGUUUUGUGAGAAACAGGACACAGGUUAGAGACACACACACAUAGUCGGACAGACAACACAGACACCACAAGGGGGGCAAGGGGGGUACUUGCAGUUAUCCUAUAAGGAAUAGAACUGGGAUUGGGCCAAGGACACACUUGCUUUGUAAGUUAACGCCUCUAUCUUUUUGGGCGUAGUAGAAGUAUAAAAUGAUGUUUUGACUGUUGAUCCUUAGACAUUGUGCG
ensembl:lncRNA